rnacentral:snRNA from 1 species
GGGUAUGAAGCUGAUCUGGCUGCGACAUCUUCACCCCACUGAUCGCCGGGGUUGAUUUGGCCGGUCUGGCUGGCUAAGUGAGUGUCCCCUUCCUCUCUCAUUGCUACAUAUGCGUCCCUCCCCAGCUGUGAGCUCGACAGAAGAGGACGACCUUCCUUAACAGAGGAGAGGAUCCUUCUUCCGUCAAGGGUAUAUGAGCACCUGCGUUCCCCUGCUAGAGCCUCUGAAAAGCUCUCAGGAAAAGCCUUCUAACUAGUUUCUGUUCUAGUGUCUAUUCUUGCUAACUACCUGUAUAAUUGUAGAGUUAGGUCUUUUGCAAUCUUU